AACGAACGCUGGCGGCAGGCCUAACACAUGCGAGUCGAGCGAGGACUUCGGUCCUAGCGGCGGACGGGUGAGUAACGCGUGGGAACGUGCCCUUUGCUUCGGAAUAGCCCUGGGACACGGGGAGUAAUACCGGAUGAGCCCUUUGGGGGAAAGAUUUAUCGGCGAAGGAUCGGCCCGCGUUGGAUUAGGUAGUUGGUGGGGUAAUGGCCGACCAAGCCGACGAUCCAUAGCUGGUUUGAGAGGAUGAUCAGCCACACUGGGACUGAGACACGGCCCAGACUCCUACGGGAGGCAGCAGUGGGGAAUCUUAGACAAUGGGGGAAACCCUGAUCUAGCCAUGCCGCGUAAGCGAUGAUGGCCUUAGGGUUGUAAAGCUCUAUCAGCUGGGAAGAUAAUGACGGUACCAGAAGAAGAAGCCCCGGCUAACUCCGUG
rnacentral:rRNA from 1 species